GGACUCCUCGUCCUUGACACAGGAUUUGUCUUCGUUAACUCAUAUGUGCAACUACAACGAUCAUCAUUCUCAUCAUCAAGAUUUCAAAUUUUUGACGGGGUUCCAAGCUAUUUCGACGAAUUCAGGUUCUGAAGUUGAGAACUCAGUUGGUACUGAGUUCGGUACUAAUGAGUUGGGUUAUACAACGUGUCUGUCUCGGCCUCCGCCACCUGCUCCUGCUCCUAUACCUGCACCUACCUGAGUUUUGUCAUUAGCGCUUAACGCUAUGAUGAAUCAUUGCUCGGAAAAAGAAAAAGCCAUUGUUGUUGUUGCUGAAGAAAGUUUUAAGAAAAUUACUGAUACUUUUGGUCAAAGAAUUUCCAUUUAUAGAGGUGUAACAAGGUGGUAGUUGUAUGUGUGAAAAUGACGGCGGUUGUUUAAGGCUCGACAAAGGGCCAUGGAGAACACUAAAGACAUCAACGAUGAAUUUUCGAGAAGAAGCAGAAUGCGUAGAGAAGACAGUGGCAACAU